rnacentral:misc_RNA from 1 species
GAUGAAGAACGCAGCGAAAUGCGAUACUUGGUGUGAAUUGCAGAAUCCCGUGCACCAUCGAGUCUUUGAACGCAAGUUGCGCCCGAAGCCAUCAGGUUGAGGGCACGUCUGCCUGGGCGUCACAUAUCGUUGCCCAAUGCCUAUUGCAGUGCAAUAGGAAUUUCUAGGGCGAAUGAUGGCUUCCCGUGAGCGUUGUUGCCUCGCGGUUGGUUGAAAAUCGAGUCCUUGGUAGGGUGUGCCAUGGUAGAUGGUGGUCGAGUUAGAACGAUACCGAUCAUGUGCAUGCUCCCCAAAAUAUGGCCUCUAUGACCCACACGCGUCUUUUGACGCUCAUGACGAGACCUCAGGUCAGGCGGGGCUACCCGCUGAAUUUAAGCAUAUCAAUAAGCGGAGGA